rnacentral:rRNA from 1 species
GAAAGUAAAGAAGGGCGCAUGGCGGAUGCCUUGGCUCUCGGAGGCGAUGAAGGACGUGAUAAGCUGCGAUAAGCUUUGGGGAGGUGCAAAUGACCUUUGAUCCAGAGAUUUCCGAAUGGGACAACCCAAUAUCUUGAAGAGGUAUUAUCCAACGUUGUUGGAGGCUAACGCAGGGAACUGAAACAUCUUAGUACCUGCAGGAAAAGAAAAUAAACAAUGAUUCCCCCAGUAGUGGCGAGCGAACGGGGAACAGCCCAAACCAUCCAUGUUACGGCAUGGGUGGGGUUGUAGGACUACGCCGUUGCAUGAAGACAUCAGAGAAGAACUUUCUGGAAAGAAAGACCAUAGAGCAUGACAGUUGCGUAUUCGAAUGUUGUCGAAGCAUAGUAGUAUCCUGAGUAGCGCGGAGCACGAGGAAUUCUGCGUGAAUCUGCCGGGACCAUCCGGUAAGGCUAAAUACUCCCGAGAGACCGAUAGCGAACCAGUACCGUGAGGGAAAGGUGAAAAGCACUUCGAACAGAAGAGUGAAAUAGUUCCUGAAACCGUGCGCCUACAAGCGGUCGGAGCUCGUUAAUGAGUGACGGCGUGCCUUUUGCAUAAUGAACCUACGAGUUGCCUUUGCCGGCAAGGUUAAGUGUGACGACACACGUAUCCGAAGCGAAAGCGAGUCUGAACAGGGCGUAUAGUCGGCAGUGGCAGACGCGAAACCAAGUGAUCUACCCUUGGCCAGGUUGAAGGCUGGGUAACACCAGCUGGAGGACCGCACCAAUAAGCGUUGAAAAGCUUCUGGAUGAGCUGAGGGUAGGGGUGAAAGGCUAAUCAAACUUGGAGAUAGCUCGUACUCCCCGAAAUGCAUUUAGGUGCAGCCUUGCGGGUUACUGAUGUGAGGUAGAGCGACUGAUAAGAUGCGAGGGCUUCACCGCCUAUCAAGUCUUGACAAACUCCGAAUGCGCAUCAGUUCUACCGCAGGAGUGAGGGCAUGGGUGCUAAGGUCCGUGCCCGAGAGGAGAAGAAUCCGGACCACCUGCUAAGGUCCCGAAAUGACAGCUAAGUUAAACUAACGAAGUCUGACUGCUAAGACAGCUAGGAUGUUGGCUUGGAAGCAGCCAUUCAUUUAAAGAGUGCGUAACAGCUCACUAGUCGAGGAGUCGGGCGUGGAUAAUAAUCGGGUAUUAAGUUGUCUACCGAAGCAGUGGGAUCAUUAAUAUGAUCGGUAGGGGAGCAUUCCAGUCAGCGUCGAAGGCGUACCGUGAGGUAUUCUGGAGCGUCUGGAAAAGCAAAUGUAGGUAUAAGUAACGAUAAAGGGGGCGGGAAACCCCCUCGCCGAAAGACUAAGGUUUCCUGAUCAACGCUAAUCGGAUCAGGGUCAGUCGGGUCCUAAGGCUCAGCCGAACGGCGAUGCCGAUGGCAGAAACGGUUAAUAUUCCGUUACUACCUUCAGGAGUGACGUGGAGACGCAGUAGUGACAGUGCCGCCAUCUGACGGAAUAGAUGGUUGAAGGGUGUAGGAGUCGAUCAUGGCAGGCAAAUCCACCAUGAGAUCCGAACCUGACAGUAUGCCGCGUCCUUCGGGACAAGGCAAUAGUGCGCGUAAGCAUGCUGCCGAGAAAAUCCGCUAAACUUAAUCCUGCAGGUACCCGUACCGCAAACGGACACACGUAGUCGGGAUGAAUAUUCUAAGGCGCUUGAGUGAUUCACGGUUAAGGAACUAGGCAAACUGACCCUGUAACUUCGGGAUAAAGGGUCCCUACCCUUUUAUGGGAGGGCGCAGAGAAUCGGUCCAGGCAACUGUUUAACAAAAACACAGGGCUGUGCCAAAUCGAAAGAUCCAGUAUACAGCCUGACACCUGCCCGGUGCUGGAAGGUUAAGAGGAGAUGUCAUCGAUAAGAGAAGCGUUGAAUUGAAGCCCCAGUAAACGGCGGCCGUAACUAUAACGGUCCUAAGGUAGCGAAAUUCCUUGUCGGGUAAGUUCCGACCUGCACGAAUGGUGUAAUGAUCUGGACGCUGUCUCAACCGUGAGCUCAGUGAAAUUGUAGUAUCGGUGAAGAUGCCGAUUACCCGCGAUGGGACGAAAAGACCCCGUGAACCUUUACUAUAGCUUAUCAUUGAAUCUGGGCACGUGAUGUGUAGGAUAGGUCGGAGGCUUUGAAGCAGGUACGCCAGUAUUUGUGGAGCCGCUGUUGAAAUACGACCCUUUAUUUGUUUGGAUUCUAACCCGUGGAACGGGGACAUUGAUUGGUGGGUAGUUUGACUGGGGUGGUCGCCUCCAAAAGCGUAACGGAGGCUUCUAAAGGUGCCCUCCGGCCGAUUGGUAACCGGCCUUAGAGUGUAAUGGCAUAAGGGCGCUUGACUGGGAGACUAACAAGUCGAUCAGGUAGGAAACUAGAGCAUAGUGAUCCGGUGUUUCCGUAUGGAAGGGACAUCGCUCAAAGGAUAAAAGGUACUCCGGGGAUAACAGGCUGAUCCCUCCCAAGAGCUCAUAUCGACGGAGUGGUUUGGCACCUCGAUGUCGGCUCGUCACAUCCUGGGGCUGGAGAAGGUCCCAAGGGUUGGGCUGUUCGCCCAUUAAAGUGGCACGCGAGCUGGGUUCAGAACGUCGUGAGACAGUUCGGUCUCUAUCU